CACAUAGUUAGCCGGUGCUUCUUCUGCAGGUACCGUCACUUACGCUUCGUCCCUGCUGAAAGAGGUUUACAACCCGAAGGCCGUCAUCCCUCACGCGGCGUCGCUGCAUCAGGCUUCCGCCCAUUGUGCAAUAUUCCCCACUGCUGCCUCCCGUAGGAGUCUGGGCCGUAUCCCAGUCCCAAUGUGGCCGAUCACCCUCUCAGGCCGGCUACCCGUCGUCGCCUUGGUAGGCCAUCACCCCACCAACAAGCUGAUAGGCCGCGGGCUCAUCCUACACCGAAAAACUUUCCACCAAACCCCAUAAGGAGAAAGGUCAUAUCCAGUAUUAGACCCAGUUUCCCAGGCUUAUCCCAGAGUGCAGGGCAGAUUACCCACGUGUUACUCACCCGUUCGCCACUCGAGUACUCCAGCAAGCUGGAGCCUUUCCGUUCGACUUGCAUGUGUUAAGCACGCCGCCAGCGUUCGUCCUGAGCCAGGAGUCAAACUCUA
rnacentral:rRNA from 1 species